rnacentral:ncRNA from 1 species
UCUGGGGUGACCGAGAAUCUGAAGGAAGUCGGCGGCAAAUCUCCGCCUUGAGGAACACGGACUUCAUAGAAGGCUAGGUGUAUUUGGGUGAGACUGCCAUACAAGUUAAAAGCCCUUACUGCCGAAGGAUACACAAAGUAAAUACGUUUUGUAAUACUUAGAUUAAUUAAUAUUU